UGUGAUGAAUUUAUUUCAGGGUCAUCGAAGGUGGGACCUCUCAAUCCACUGCAUGUCCAUAAGAACAGGGAGUCGGCCGGGCCAGACCCCAUCAUAGACUCACAGCUUGCUGAUAUCCUUCAGUAUCAAAAACAAUCCUUCAGCUGGGCGAUCGCCAGAGAAGAGAUCAGUCCGAAUGAGCAUGAAGAAAGCAACCAGAAACCCAGAGAGGUAAGGAAAUCAAUCAGGAGAAGGCAAAGGGAAAUGAAAAAAUGCCCUGUGAAACUACCAGAGAGGCAACAAAGUAACUGUGAAGUGGAGGCUAUUCCCUGCAGUGUGGAACGGAUCGAGACCCAGUUUCUACGACUACCAGCAAACCGGGACUGGCAGCCCCCCGGCGCGGUGGUGCCGACGGGCCCCGAGGAGGAGGAGGAGGAGGAGCUCCAGAGCACAGCACCCAUCCCGAGGUACAAGGCUGCGGGGGACAGCAUCAAGUGUGACAGGCAGAGUCG